rnacentral:rRNA from 1 species
GAUGAACGCUGGCGGCGUGCCUAAUACAUGCAAGUCGAGCGAACAGACGAGGAGCUUGCUCCUUUGACGUUAGCGGCGGACGGGUGAGUAACACGUAGGCAACCUACCUAUAAGACUGGGAUAACUUCGGGAAACCGGAGCUAAUACCGGAUAAUAUUUCGAACCGCAUGGUUCGAUAGUGAAAGAUGGCUUUGCUAUCACUUAUAGAUGGACCUGCGCCGUAUUAGCUAGUUGGUAAGGUAACGGCUUACCAAGGCAACGAUACGUAGCCGACCUGAGAGGGUGAUCGGCCACACUGGAACUGAGAAACGGUCCAGCCUCCUACGGGAGGAAGCAGUAGGGAAUCUUCCGCAAUGAGCGAAAGCCUGACGGAGCAACGCCGCGUGAGUGAUGAAGGUCUUCGGAUCGUAAGACUCUGUUAUUAGGGAAGAACAAACGUGUAAGUAACUGUGCACGUCUUGACGGUACCUAAUCAGAAAGCCACGGCUAACUACGUG